rnacentral:lncRNA from 1 species
UGUUCACUAACUUAUGUUCAGAUUAGUCUGUGAGUAUUUGGAAAAAAGUAAAGAGUUUGACCUCUUUCAACAGUCUCUGAAUGGCAGCAGUAGUGGAUAAGCCAGGAAAUGAAACUUCAGAGAGAACCAUGUUGGAAGGUUACUCCGCACACAAAGCUGGGUCUCCCUCUUGGAAAACUUAGAUGAGCCCCAUGACUAAGAGCAGGUAAAGGUCAAGUGCUCAGAAUGUCAACCAAGGAUUGCUUUUUCUGUGAAACAUUAACUUCUGACAGGAAGAGCACUCAGCACUGACAGCCACAUUGUGGUAAAGUGGCCCCUUCAGGUAAGAGAAGAGUUUUGGUAUAAACGGAAGUUUUAGUGACAGAAGCACUUAGUGUUUUUAUAAUAGACGGACUUUUUUUGAACCUUCUUCUGAUAUAUUUAUCAUGGGUAGAUACUAGAGAGUAAUACAAAACAUGAACUCUUAGUUAUUAAAUCUUUAUUAUUAUAUUUAGAUUGAAAAGACUGAACACAGGACAAAAACUUUCCUCAAAUUACUCACGUUAACUGC